UAAAGAUUUUAAGGGCGUACGGUGGAUGCCUUGGCGAUAUCAGCCGAAGAAGGACGCGGUAAGCUGCGAUAAGCUACGGAGAGGUGCAAGCAACCUGUGACCCGUAGAUUUCCGAAUGGGGGAACCCGGCAGUGGUUAUGCACUGUCACCCAUACCUUUGAGUAUGAGGAGGGCACCUGGGGAACUGAAACAUCUAAUUACCCAGAGGAACAGUAAUCAAACGAGAUUUUCUUAGUAGCGGCGAGCGAACGGGAAAGAGGCCAAACCGGAGCGGGCAACCGCACCGGGGUUGAGGACAGUCAUCAAGUGUAAAUGAGGUAGAAGAAUCGAGCUGGAAAGCUCAGCCGCAGAAGGUGAAAGCCCUGUAAUCGAAACCUUGCAUACAUGGGACUGUAUCCAGAGUACCACGAGACACGUGAAACCUUGUGGGAAGCAGGGGGGACCACCCUCCAAGCCAAAAUACUGAUAUCGACCGAUAGCGCAUAGUACCGUGAGGGAAAGGUGAAAAGAACCCCUGGCGGGGAGUGAAAGAGAACCUGAAACCGUAUGUCUACAAACAGUCGAAGUCUGUAUAUAUAUCAGGACGACGGCGUGCCUAUUGAAGAAUGAACCGACGAGUUACUGUUGCUAGCGAGGUUAAGUGGAAAACAUGGAGCCGCAGCGAAAGCGAGUCUGAACAGGGCGUUCAGUUAGUAAUAGUAGACCCGAAACCGUAGUGAUCUAUCCAUGGCCAGGUUGAAGCACAGGUAAAAUUGUGUGGAGGACCGAACUCGUGAGCGUUGAAAAGCUUUGGGAUGAGUUGUGGAUAGGGGUGAAAUGCCAAUCGAACACGGAGAUAGCUGGUUCUCCCCGAAAUAGCUUUAGGGCUAGCCUCGAGGUAGAGAGUAUAGGCGGUAGAGCACUGAUCGGGCUAGGGGCCAUACCGGUUACCGAACCUAGUCAAACUACGAAUGGCUAUACUUAUACUCGGGAGUCAGACAGUGAAUGAUAAGGUCCAUUGUCAAGAGGGAAACAGCCCAGAACACCGACUAAGGUCCCCAAUGUUACACUAAGUGGCGAAGGAUGUGGAAUUUCCAAAACAACCAGGAUGUUGGCUUAGAAGCAGCCACCAUUUAAAGAGUGCGUAAUAGCUCACUGGUCGAGAGACUCUGCGCCGAAAAUGUCCGGGGCUAAAGUGUAAAACCGAAGUCGUGUCAUAUGCAGCAAUGUAUAUGGGUAGGGGAGCGUUCUCAUCGGGCUGAAGCAGUACCGUAAGGAGUUGUGGACUGAUGAGAAGUGAGAAUGUCGGUAUGAGUAGCGAAAAGAAUGGUGAGAAUCCAUUCCACCGAAAGCCUAAGGGUUCCUGAGCAACGAUCGUCGUCUCAGGGUAAGUCGGGACCUAAGCCGAGGCGGAAAAGCGUAGGCGAUGGACAACAGGUUGAAAUUCCUGUACCGGUGUGAAUCGUUUGAUCGAUGGAGUGACACAGUAAGGUAGGUCAGCACGCGAUUGGAAGAGCGUGUUUAAGCAGGUAGGUUGAGCUAUAGGCAAAUCCGUAGCUCUAAAAGCUGAGAUGUGAUGACGAGUGACUAGCAAUAGUCGCGAAGUGAUUGAUCCUACACUGUCGAGAAAAGCUUCUAGGUAGAGACACAUCGCCCGUACCAAAACCGACACAGGUAGGCGGGGAGAGAAUCCUAAGGUGCGCGGGAAAACCCUCGUUAAGGAACUCGGCAAAAUGCCUCCGUAACUUCGGGAAAAGGAGGACUCAUGUAGUGUGAAGAGCAGAAGCGCUUGGAGCAUGAAUGAGUGGCACAAGAGAGGCGCAAGCGACUGUUUACCACAAACACAGGUGCCUGCUAAAGCGAAAGCUGAUGUAUAGGUGCUGACACCUGCCCGGUGCUGGAAGGUUAAGAGGAGGGGUUAGACUUCGGUCGAAGCUCUGAAUUGAAGCCCCAGUAAACGGCGGCCGUAACUAUAACGGUCCUAAGGUAGCGAAAUUCCUUGUCGGGUAAGUUCC
rnacentral:rRNA from 1 species